rnacentral:rRNA from 1 species
UGGUGAUUAUAGCUAGAAGGUACACCCGUUCCAUGCCGAACACGAUGGUUAAGCUUCUAAGCGCCAAUGGUACUGCAAGGGACCUUGUGGGAGAGUAGGACAUUGCCAGUAA